rnacentral:rRNA from 1 species
UACGAAGGGGGGCUAGCGUUGCUCGGAAUCACUGGGCGUAAAGGGUGCGUAGGCGGGUCUUUUAAGUCAGGGGUGAAAUCCUGGAGCUCAACUCCAGAACUGCCUUUGAUACUGAAGAUCUUGAGUCCGGGAGAGGUGAGUGGAACUGCGAGUGUAGAGGUGAAAUUCGUAGAUAUUCGCAAGAACACCAGUGGCGAAGGCGGCUCACUGGCCCGGUACUGACGCUGAGGCACGGAAAGGCGUGGGGAGCAAACAGGG